GACGGGGGGGGCAAGUGUUCUUCGGAAUGACUGGGCGUAAAGGGCACGUAGGCGGUGAAUCGGGUUGAAAGUGAAAGUCGCCAAAAAAGUGGCGGAAUGCUCUCGAAACCAAUUCACUUGAGUGAGACAGAGGAGAGUGGAAUUUCGUUGUGUAGGGGGUGAAAUCCGUAAAUAUACGAAGGAACGCCAAAAGCGAAGGCAGCUCUCUGGGUCCCUACCGACGCUGGGGUGCGAAAGCAUGGGGGAGCGAACAGG
rnacentral:rRNA from 1 species